UACGAAGGGGGCUAGCGUUGCUCGGAAUUACUGGGCGUAAAGCGUGCGCAGGCGGCUUUGCAAGACAGAUGUGAAAUCCCCGGGCUCAACCUGGGAACUGCAUUUGUGACUGCAAGGCUAGAGUACGGCAGAGGGGGAUGGAAUUCCGCGUGUAGCAGUGAAAUGCGUAGAUAUGCGGAGGAACACCAAUGGCGAAGGCAAUCCCCUGGACCUGUACUGACGCUCAUGCACGAAAGCGUGGGGAGCAAACAGG
rnacentral:rRNA from 1 species